rnacentral:rRNA from 1 species
AUUGAACGCUGGCGGCAUGCCUUACACAUGCAAGUCGAACGGUAACAGGCCGCAAGGUGCUGACGAGUGGCGAACGGGUGAGUAACACAUCGGAACGUGCCUGAUAGUGGGGGAUAACUACUCGAAAGAGUAGCUAAUACCGCAUAGGAUCUCAGGAUGAAAGCAGGGGACCGCAAGGCCUUGCGCUAACAGAGCGGCCGAUGGCAGAUUAGGUAGUUGGUGGGAUAAAAGCUUACCAAGCCGACGAUCUGUAGCUGGUCUGAGAGGACGACCAACCACACUGGGACUGAGACACGGCCCAGACUCCUACGGGAGGCAGCAGUGGGGAAUUUUGGACAAUGGGCGCAAGCCUGAUCCAGCAAUGCCGCGUGCAGGAUGAAGGCCUUCGGGUUGUAAACUGCUUUUGUACGGAACGAAAAAGCUCUGGUUAAUACCUGGGGCCCAUGACGGUACCGUAAGAAUAAGCACCGGCUAACUACGUG